GGAAUUCAGGGCUCCUGGUUCCUCCCGUGGCUGGAGCCACCGUGCCCAGCCACAGUCUUCUUUUUUUUGAGACAGGGUCUCUCUGUCACCCAGGCUGGUGUACAGUGGCGCUAUCUCAGCUUACUGCAACCUCCGCCUUCUAGACUCAAGCAAUCCAUAUUCAGAUAAUUUUUAACUAUUUUUUUGUAGAGACAAGGCCCCACUAUAUUGCCCAAGCUGGUCUCAAACUCCUGGGCUCAAGCAAUCCUCCUGCCUCGGCCUCCCAAAGUGCUGGGAUUACAGGGGUGAGCCACUGCACCCGGCCAGUUGAUCUUACCUUAUACAUUAGAAGGCUCUGCACCCCCUUCAAGCCACUCUUGGCCUAUAAAGGAGUGGACAGAGAAUUACCCAAGGGUGGUGGGAUCCUGGGCAUUUGAGAGCUCAGCCUUCUGUCCCCUAAGAUAGCUUUUUUUUUUGCCAUCUGCAUGUCUCAAAUACGUUCACCACCCCCCAUACACCACCUAAGAAGUCAAUGCAAACUUUCACCCCUUUGACUAAUAUAAAAUGAGUAUUCCUGGAGGCAGUCAUCCCCAAAGAAAAUGGGGAGUGGCAAAGCAACAGGGCAAGGUGUUCCUGUUUCAAAGCGGUGAAGAACAAAAUCGCACGGACAAUUUUGAGCUGCAAAAAUUGGCCCCAGGAAACUUCUGAGCUUGGGAGAUAAAAGGCAGAACCUGGAAUUGUAGCAUCCAAGGACAAAAAGAAUGUUUGCCAGCAAAUCUUGGCUGUCAAUUUUAAAGGGGCCGUGGGCGGGGCGGAGGGGGGCGGGUAGGAUUCCAACAAAAAAUGAGUAUAAUAAAUAAAAAAUAAAAGGGGGAAGAGUUGUUAAUGGUUUAACUGCUGGUUCAGUUCUGA
rnacentral:lncRNA from 10 species